GUGGAGAAUCUUGCACAAUGGGGGAAACCCUGAUGCAGCAACGCCGCGUGAAGGAUGAAGGCCUUCGGGUUGUAAACUUCUUUUGGAGGGGACGAAUAAAUUGACGGUACCCUCAGAAAAAGCCACGGCUAACUACGUGCCAGCAGCCGCGGUAAUACGUAGGUGGCGAGCGUUACUCGGAAUUACUAGGCGUAAAGCGUAUGUAGGCGGUUGUAUAAGUCUAUGGUGAAAUUUCCUGGCUCAACUGGGAAGGGACAUAGAUACUGUAUGGCUUGAGUGUUGGAGGGGGAGACGGAAUUCCUGGUGUAGCGGUGAAAUGCGUAGAUAUCAGGAGGAACACCGAUGGCGAAAGCAGUCUCCUGGCCAAAUACUGACGCUGAGGUACGAAAGCUAGGGUAGCAAACAGGAUUAGAAACCCGGGUAGUCC
rnacentral:rRNA from 1 species